CUUACACAAGAUAGCAGAAAAGACUUUAGAGUCUUGGGAAACAAAAGAAAAUAUUGAUCUGCUUUUAACCUGAAAUUGCCUCUCAUGACCACAGUUACAUCGACUCACUCAGUGCUGUACAAAAAAUAAAUAAAUAAAUAAAAAUAAAAGGAAAAAAGAGUGUAUGCAGUAUGAAGCACCAUGGAUGAGAAAAAUGCAGUUGAUGGACAGAACAGAAACUUGGAAAUAAUAAUUGCUCCGUAUACUAAAAACUAUUAGGAUACUAUAUAAAAGUUGAAUUAUUUUUCUCCUUCAGAUCUUCUUCACAAACUAAUGGUUAUGCCUUUUGUGUAAGUAAGCAAGAUGUUCAGCAAGGAAAGGCUGUUCAAGUACCACUUUAUCACUUUAUGCACCUCAUAACUACAUGGCAUUGUCAUUAUAUCAUUAUAUUAUAGAGGAAGAAAAUAUUCUCAUAAGUAUACUACUCCGUGUCAGUGAAAAUGUACAAAAUGUGCAGUGACGCAAAAAGAGCCAAGCACUGCAAACAGUCAUAUUUAUCUUGGUGCAAACUGCUUCUAUAACCAUGACCAUUUUGCAGCAUAUCAACAAUUAUCUGUUCCCUAAUGUCGACACACAUAGCAACUAAUAGGCUACAGUGGCACUUGAAAGAUGGUGAAUCCUUUUCUAUAUAUUUGCAUAAAUAUGACUGAAAAUAUCUGUCACGCCUGCUGCUGCCAGGGCCAGAUAGCGGCAGUCCUCGCUCUCUCUCCCUCCUCUCCUCCUUUCUCACUCUCCCUUUCCCUCUCUAAUUAGGUGGGCGUGAGCUGGUGCAGUGACUGAGGAGGACGGGCAGGUGAUUGCAAUCUGCUGAUGACGCAGGCGUGUGUUGGCUGCAGCUGUGCCUCAUCCACAGACCAGCAUUUAAGCCGCGCUCAAUCCACAACUCGUCGCCGGACCAGAAACACUCCUCACCCGGAUCAUCUGCCACCAUCACCAAACCACUCCGUCAGCCGGCGACUCCUGCCACAAGGAAUCGGAUUCUCCCUCACCUACCUGCCACCUGUCAGUUUUCUUCUGCUCGUCCGUUCCGACGCCACUCCUCAGCCACGUCUCCACCUGCCUCCCCAUCGCGGAAUCGGCGACGCCAACACUCUCCACCUCCCAGACUCCUCUUCCAUACCCUCCUCCUUGCUUCCCCUCUCUCCUCGUUCAGCUCCAGUAGGGUCUGGUUCAGCUCAGUGAUUUGUCAGCCAGUAUCGUAAGUCCAGCAGCCUCAUUAGAGCCGGUUACCCUGCUAGUUAAUAUGUACCACUAGCCUUGGAGUUAGCAGUUUGUCGGUCUGUCUGCAUGUAGCGCUAGACCUGUUGAUAGCAUUUUGUUUGCCAGCUCGUUUCUUACGAUUGAGCUUCUCGUUAGCACCUCCUGGUGUUCUUCCUUCGUUACUUCUCUUGUUUACAUUGGUCUGAGUUUUUGUUUCAUCUGCUUACGGUUCCUGAUUCGGUGGUACCGAAAUCGGGUACGUACCCCUUAGUUUCAGUCAUUCAGCCUGACCACUAGUAGGCGUAGUUUGCUCUGCCAGCAACAUUGUGAGUUUGUACUUUAUGUGUGUGUAUAAAUAAACCAUUUGUUUUAUCAACCUGA